rnacentral:rRNA from 1 species
AAUAGAUACCCCGGUAGUCCACGCCGUAAACGAUGAGUGCUAAGUGUUGGGGGGUUUCCGCCCCUCAGUGCUGCAGCUAACGCAUUAAGCACUCCGCCUGGGGAGUACGGUCGCAAGACUGAAACUCAAAGGAAUUGACGGGGGCCCGCACAAGCGGUGGAGCAUGUGGUUUAAUUCGAAGCAACGCGAAGAACCUUACCAGGUCUUGACAUCCCGGUGACCACUAUGGAGACAUAGUUUCCCCUUCGGGGGCAACGGUGACAGGUGGUGCAUGGUUGUCGUCAGCUCGUGUCGUGAGAUGUUGGGUUAAGUCCCGCAACGAGCGCAACCCUUAUUCUUAGUUGCCAUCAUUCAGUUGGGCACUCUAAGGAGACUGCCGGUGAUAAACCGGAGGAAGGUGGGGAUGACGUCAAAUCAUCAUGCCCCUUAUGACCUGGGCUACACACGUGCUACAAUGGACGGUACAAACGGUUGCCAACCCGCGAGGGGGAGCUAAUCCGAUAAAACCGUUCUCAGUUCGGAUUGUAGGCUGCAACUCGCCUAC